UUCCUGCAUCCUAUCAUUUAUUUGAGCUUACAAACCUUUGCUCUCUGGUUCAUUUGAGUCAUCUCUCUUUUUGUAUACAUCAAGUUUUUGGUUUUCACUUUGAUACUUGCCUGAGCAGCCACUAGCUUGUACUCUAGUUAUAUUGGCAUAGAUGAAAGUCAUUGAAGAAAAGUUUAGUAUUAUUUCGCUGAGCGUGAUUCUUUCAAACCCACAAGAAAGUGUUGUAGGAGGCCGAAAACCAACCAGCAUCCAAACUGGUUAAAUGGAGGGUUAAUUUAUGGCCCCGCAUGUUCUUCGGUUGGGAAGGGAGCAUUUGCUGAGCAUGGUCCUUACCAGCUGGAAUAGAGGUAACCAUUUUCUAUUUUACUUCAUUCUUUUUUACUCAUUCUGCAUUUUAUUUUUGAAAACCUGAUAAGAAGGGAUUUGCUACUACCAUAAACUAGGGUUCUACAAAGAAGAUAAAGACUAGAGACAAAAUUAAAAACUCAUUUCAUUCAGCAUACCAACAAUAGAGACAGCAGCUCUAUUAAAUACAAGACAUACUAAUGGGCCUAGGAAUAACAUUCUGGCUAAGCCCAAUUUGGAGGAAUUAAAAUAAACUCUAACUUAAAAUUAAAUAGAUUAAUUCAUAAUAUAGUCUUGUUGCCAAAUGGGCUUCUUUAAACUUCUGCUGGGCCUAUCACUACUUUCCAUCCCAAUGUGAACCUUGUCCUCAAGGUUAGAGAAACCAGUUGGUGGAUCCGGCCCAAGGAGAGGCCCACGGUGACUUGAAGAGAGCAAGUUAGGUUGAGCAAGCCGACUUGGAAUAGUGGUGCGGUGAAAGGUGGAAUCCAGCUGGGGUGAGAAAUUUGAAUUUUUGGGACGCGUGUUACCUUGCUGUGCUUCAAGAGGUGAACGUUGGUAAUCCAACGGUGGGAAGCCAGAAAGCGUGUUGGCCUUCCAAUUUGGUUUCCAAGGAGCAUUGGGCAGUGGGGUAAUUAAUGUAGUAGGUGGAAAACAGCUGUGAGCACAUGGGAAAGUGUCAUGGGAACCCGUAGAGAGACUAGUGGGUGGGGCCAAGGGUGAGUGAGAAAAGUCUUUGUUUUGGCAUCCAAUGCUGUUGGACGGUGCAGAUACAGAUGUAGGGAUAUCCAACGGUGAGACAUUGGGCAGGCUUUCUAGAUCUUUCUGACGCGUGAGAUAUGGGGCAGAUGCACUUGGAGUGUACUUUGGAGACUUAGAAAAGAUCUUAUGAGUCUUAGAUAACUCAUUUCCCUCAGAAUAAUGUUGAACCACUUCUUUUUCUCCUUGGUUCUGCAAAGAGUCCUGUUCCAAACUAGCUUCGCAAACCUCUGUUUUUUUAGUAAUUCCUUCUGGUCUCUCAUUCUCUUCAGACUGAAAGUCAGUUGUUUCCUCUUCUUCUUCGUUCUCUCUAAGGUUUUCGGGUAGGGAACUUGGGUAGAUCUGUGGAUCUUGAGCAUGAUAUUUUCGGAGUUGGGAAAUAUGGAAAACUGGGUGGAUCUUAGAUGGCGAGGGUAGUUGCAGUUCAUAGGCCACCGGACCGAUUCUGCGCACAACAGGAAAAGGGCCAAAAUAUCUCUUUGAAAGUUUUUGAGAGGUUCGCCGCUGCACCGAUGUUUGCCGGUAUGGUUGGAGUCUCAAUAACACCAGAUCACCAAUAGCGAAGCGUUGCAUCCAGUAAGGGAAUGGUGGAGAACCCUUUGACAUAGUCUUUAACAGCUGGAGGAGGCCGACCGUAGAGAGCUUCGAAAGGCGUCAUUUUGAUUGAAGAAUGGAGACAAGUGUUAUGCCAAAGCUCUGCUAAAUGAAGAAAUUUGAACCACUGUCGAGGAUUAUCGCUUGUGAAACACCGCAGGGUUGUGCCUUGCACUCGAAAAAGCUCUUUCCAGAAAGUGCUCAAGAAGAUCGGAUCUCGGUCCGAUACGAUGGUUUUUGGAAUCCCAUGAAGCCUACAGAUCUCCACAGAGAAACGUCGUGCUAGAUCUACAGCGGAGAACUUGGGUGGUAACGCAAUAAAAUGAGAAAAUUUUGAUAGUCUGUCACAAACGACCCAGAUAACUGUGUGACCGAAAGAUUUUGGCAGAUGAGUAAUAAAAUCCAUUGACAAGUCCUCCCACACUUGUUGAGGUAUCUCCAGAGGUUGUAAUAAUCCUUGUUUUUUUGUUGGCAGGUAUUUGUUGUGUUGACAAGAGGUGCAGCAUUGGACCAACUUCUUAACAUCUCUGUAAAGUCCCGGCCAUAGGAAAGUCGCAGAAAUUCGAGACAAGGUUGGCUUCAGACCUGAAUGGCCUCUAGAAGGUGUGCUGUGACAUUCCUUGAGAAUAGUAGAACGAAAUUCCAGAUCCUCCGUAUUGGCGCAGUUGUGAAAGGAAUGUUGGAACAGAAGAUGAGAUUGCAAGCAAGAGGGACGAUUCUUCUGUGUGCCUUCUGCUCAGAGCAUCAGCGACACUGUUGGAUUUCCCAGUAAUCGCAUACAUUUCUCGAACAUAUACAGAAGCAGCCUGAAGUCGAGGGCACAUUUUCUUGCUGAAGAAAGCUAAAGGGUGACCAGAUUGUGAAAGAACUGCACCAAUGGCUACCGCGGAGGCAUCUGUUUCGACAACAAAGAGUUUGUUGAAGUCUGGAAGAGCAAGCACAGGAGUUGUCGUCAUAAUUUGUUUUAAACUUAAGCGAACAUGCUAUACUUGGAUUCUCCGGCUAGUGUUGGUUUCUCUAUUCGACCAACACCUCUGAUCAUCUCUUUGCGAAUGAUGAACUUACAGGACUAGGAGAGUUCAAAUGGUUAUGAGCACUAGAAGUAUCAGUAAUUUGUCGAGCAGCUUGUAUUAUGUCAUUCACAUCUUGUCCAGAAAAUUUAUUCUGAAUUAAGGAAACUUGCCCAUACAUCGCACACGCCCCUUCUUUGCAGCUCCUUGUACUUUAGAAAAUGUAUCACCAUUCCAAGACAUAGAACCUUGCAUACUUUGGGUUGAUUGAGAUGGCCCAGCCUCAUUACUAUAUUUGUUUAGUUCUUCCUGAAAUGUAAAAAUAUUGUGUCAUAUUGAUUUAUACUCAAUGUACAUGCAAUAUUAUUGUAUGUUUAGAUGGCGAAAAUUAUACCAAAAUUAUACAUAGAGAUACCCAACAAAAAUAGUGAGACACGACAAAACAAAAAAUGAUCCACAAUACUAUGA